rnacentral:rRNA from 1 species
UACGGAGGGUGCAAGCGUUAUCCGGAUUUACUGGGUUUAAAGGGUGCGUAGGUGGGUGAAUAAGUCAGCGGUGAAAUCUCCGGGCUUAACUCGGAAACUGCCAUUGAUACUAUUCGUCUUGAAUAUCCUGGAGGUGAGCGGAAUAUGUCAUGUAGCGGUGAAAUGCUUAGAUAUGACAUAGAACACCAAUUGCGAAGGCAGCUUACUACAGGGAUAUUGACACUGAGGCACGAAAGCGUGGGGAUCAAACAGG